rnacentral:rRNA from 1 species
UAGGGAAUCUUCGGCAAUGGGGGGAACCCUGACCGAGCAACGCCGCGUGAGUGAAGAAGGUUUUCGGAUCGUAAAGCUCUGUUGUUAAGGAAGAACGAGUGUGAGAAUGGAAAGUUCAUACUGUGACGGUACUUAACCAGAAAGGGACGGCUAACUACGUGCCAGCAGCCGCGGUAAUACGUAGGUCCCGAGCGUUGUCCGGAUUUAUUGGGCGUAAAGCGGGCGCAGGCGGUUAGAUAAGUCUGAAGUUAAAGGCAGUGGCUCAACCAUUGUAGGCUUUGGAAACUGUUUAACUUGAGUGCAGAAGGGGGGAGUGGAAUUCCAUGUGUGGCGGUGAAAUGCGUAGAUAUAUGGAGGAACACCGGUGGCGAAAGCGGCUCUCUGGUCUGUAACUGACGCUGAGGCUCGAAAGCGUGGGGAGCGAACAGG